rnacentral:rRNA from 1 species
AAUCAACGCUGGCGGCGUGCCUCAGACAUGCAAGUCGAACGCGAAAUUUCCCUUCGGGGAGAAAGUAGAGUGGCGCACGGGUGAGUAACACGUAGGUAAUUUGCCUUUGGGUGGGGAAUAACUCAGGGAAACUUGAGCUAAUACCGCAUAAUGCAGCGGCUCGACAUCGAGACAGUUGUUAAAGCGGGGGAUUGGAGCAAUCCGACCUCGCGCCUAAAGAGAAGCCUGCGGCAGAUUAGCUAGUUGGUAAGGUAAUGGCUUACCAAGGCGACGAUCUGUAACCGGCCUGAGAGGGCGGUCGGUCACACUGACACUGACAUACGGGUCAGACUCCUACGGGAGGCAGCAGUCGGGAAUUUUGGGCAAUGGGCGCAAGCCUGACCCAGCAACGCCGCGUGAAGGAUGAAAUUUUUCGGAAUGUAAACUUCGCAAGAACAAGGAAGAAUAAGUGUGGGAC